CAGUUUUAGGGGUGACAGGAGUGAAUGACUCUAAUGCCUGGACCGAGAUCCUCUUACAAAUCUUGUAUUUUCCAAAUCUUUGUUUUUUUUUUUUAAAAAAAAAGCAAAAACAAAUAAACAGCUGAAGUUCAAUCUAAUCAAAUCAUAAACUGAUAUUAAAGGAUAAAUUUUAAAAGACGCUAAAAUCUUUAGUUUCAUAGAUAUAAAAAAAGAACAUGUAAAAAUGAUUUAAAAAUGAUUUAAGAAUGAGAGAGCCAAAAAGGCUUUAUGGUCUGUUCAGAGGAGACCAUUGAUAGCAAUGCUAAAAUGAGUUUGAUAUUUAACAUGUAUAAAUUAGCUUCUUCCGGAGUGGGAGACGGAAAUCCAUUGAACUUCCACAGGAUAAAUUUUUUUGCAUGCAUUAUAGACAUAUCAGUUGUGUAUAGGUUAACUUCUAUCUCUACAGAAUUAUAAAACAGCCUAGUCAUAAAGAACAAAUGGCUGAGAUAACCCAGAUGAUGUGUAGUCAGGAUACUCAGUGAAUUUCAGUCUUCCACAAUUUUUCCUUACAUUGAUAGUUUAAAUAAUUUUGAUAUUUCAUUAUUACAUGAUGUUUAGUAUAUAACUCAGAAGGCAUUCAAAGAAUUGAGUGACAUUCCUCUUAGAAAAUUUCAUCCACUUGCAUCUCCUUGUUAUAUGAACCGUUUCCCAGAAUCUACAUUGAUAAAAACAAAAACUGAGAAUCAAAUUGAUGCUCAACAUUGACUCACUCUAGCAGUAACACAUGCAUGAAAUAAUUGAAAAAUAAAAGAGCUCAUAAGAGAGGGGUUUCCAUUAAAAAUGUUUUUUAUUUACAUUUAGUAAUUGUCAACGUUUAUAAUAUUUGUGUUAUUUUGAUGAGUUCAUUCUAAUAAAAGCUACAGGGAUAACAAUCAGAAGAGUAAUUUUUUACCAUUGAUUUUAAUACACACACACACACACACACACACACAUUUGAUACAGAGAAGUGUGAUAGGAUAAUGAAUAAAAGACAUUAAAGCAUAAAAUAGAAAUACGUAAAAUUAGGAUAAACUCUAACAUGGCAAGAAGAAUGGAAAUAUAAAUUCAAGGAGAAAAUAAUGAUCAUGCAAAAUUUGUGCCUGUCAAAGAGCAGCCUGUUUAUGUAUUCUUUUUUUUAGGGCCAUAGGUGCGGCAUAUGGAAGUUCCCAGCUGCCAGCCUACUCCAUAGCCGCAGCAGCAAGGGAUCUGAGCCACAUCUGUGACCUACACCACAGCUCAUGGCAAUGCUGGAUCCUUAACCCAAACCCACAUCCUCAUGGGUAUUAGUCAGGGUUGUGACCCACUGAGCCUCAAUGGGAACUCAUGUAUUGUUUUAAAAUGAAUAACAAUGGAUUUCGAUGGAUGUAUUUCAGCAAGUGAUAAAGUAGUUUUACAUUUACAUGUCAGUUUUUACAACGUACUGGAAGUUACAUUCUUCACAAUUCACAUUUUGGUGAAAGUUUUUCCAUGUCAACCUAAAAAUGUGUGAGAAGGUUUUAUGAAAUUCUCUUGGGUUAUAUACAAGUAAGAAUUUGCAGAUCCCUUUGUAGCUCAUGCUGCCUCUGUUUUCUGACCAAAAAAAUCAGAAGUCUGUGAUGUGGCAAGCAAUUUCUGCAAGUUUAGUGUUGAUACAUAAACUAAAUUAUUGAUUGACACAUUAACUCCUUGUUCUGCUAGGUUUAGAGAAGACUUUGAAGAACCAAAGUUCUUGAUACUUUCGAUGCCUCUACAAAGUGAAGAUAGCCCAUAAUGCUUUAUUUAUUUCUUUUUAGACAGUUACAUCUUCACUUUGUUCAUCUUUCUUGUUCUCCCCUUGGAGGCACUCACUCUAAGGCAUUACAUGUGUGUGCAUGCAUGUGUAAUGACAAGAGAGACAGAACUGUUUGGAUCUGUAAAUAUAUAGCUUUCACCAAGUUUGGGAAGUUUGGAGCCAUUAUUUCUUGAAGUAUGUUUCCUACCUCAAUCUAUUUGUCCUCAAAUGACACUAAUAUUAAGCCUUUUAAUAUUGGCCCACAAGCUUUUUAAGCUUUGUUCACUUUUUUUGUUCAGCCUUUUUUUUUUUCUCUCUAUUCUUGGAUAAUAUCUAUGUCUUUAAAUUUACUGACAUUUCCCUUUGUCAUCUCUGUUCUGCUAUUGAGCCCAUCCAGUACAUUUUAAAAUUUGUUGUUGUAUUUUUCAGUUCUAAAAUUUUCACUUGUUUUUCUUUCAUAGGUUCCAUGUCUCCGCUGAGAAUAUCUAUCUUUCCAUUCAUUUCAAGAGUGUUUACCUUAAUUUCCUGGAGCAUAGUUAAAACAGCUCCCAUAAAUCUCUCUGAUAUUUCCAACAUCUGUGUCAUCUUGAUGUUGCCACGUGUUAAUUGUCUUUCCCCUUGAGAAUUGGUCACAUUUCUUUGGUCUCUUGAAUGUCAAAUUUUUUUAUUGAAUUCAUGUCAUUUAAGGACAUUGUGAAACUCUGGGUCAUUUCAAAAUGUUCAGUUUUUUUGCUUUACCAGGCAGUCAGCCCAGUUUUAUCUUGCAUUCUGUGAGCAGUGGUUCCAGCAUCAGUUCAUUUUUCAUAGUUUUUCGCUCUGCUGCAUUGAAUUCCAUGAAAGCACAAUGUAGGGGCUAGUCUGGGACUUUAGCAGAGCUUACACCAUAGUUCAGUUCUCAAAGCCUUUGGAUCUGUCCCAUGCAUGCACAGCUCAAGGGCAAGACUGGGGUUUGCGCUAGUUCAUACACAGCAUCUAGGGACCCCCUUCUUCAUCUCCUUCCUCUCUAGAAUUCCUCCCACACUCUCCUACUCCCAUGAACCCUCCCCCCCGCCCCCGCACUGCCUGGGACUUCUGGCCAGAAAGACUAGCUUUCUCUUGAGGUUUCAGUGGCUCAUGCAGGUACAGUUUAGUUUCCCAGGACAGGGGCCAGCCUCAGGGCAAAGUACUAAGAGAAAAGAGGAAAAAAAUGACAGGGAUUCUGCCCACACUCUUUGGAUCACAAAGGCCCCCUUACCCUGAUCCUUUGGCAGUAAGACUAGGUUUUUCUUGGGGAAAUUUUAGCUUCCUGUGCUGCUGCUUUACUGCAGCUAGUCUUGGGAGAGAAAAAUGAGGGGGAAAAAACCCCAAACCCCCAGACAACCCAGACUUUCCUUCACAUUCUUCCACUUGUAGGGGCCUCCUUUCCACCUCUUCUGACCGAAAAAAAGGCAGUUCUCUAGGAGUUUUUGUUGCCUGCACCUCCGUGCAGUUCCAACCUCAGGUCAUGUCUGAAGAGAAAAGAGAGAAAAAACCGGAACUGAACACCCACAUGGGUCCCUUUUUCAACUUUUGAUUGCCCUCCUCAAUUUCCCUGCUGUUGUUUAUCCUUCAAAGUCAGGGAGUUGCUUUUUGGGUUUUGAACACAGUUUAGCAGUGGCAGCCCCGCCCCCUUCCCUUAUUCACUUAUUCCCUUUCCCCUUUGUUUUCCCAACACCCCACCAUUCUUUCCUUUCUGCUUUGCCCUCUUUCUCCGUUCCCUCUUUCCUUUGGGCCCCCAGGUCCAAAGAGCAAAGAAAAAGAGCCUCUGGUCUUUUGGUGGUCCACAGCUCUAUUUAAAAACUCUGGUUUUGUCACAAGUAAUAAAUCAAAAUCAAGUAUGAAAGACCCAAGAGGCCGGAGACACAUGAAGAAGCAAAAAAAAAGGUUAGAGGAGAGCUCUCGGGCCAAAUGUAACACCUGGCUAUUUUAAAUCAAAUGAUCACCUUUGCAGUUGUUGCAAAUAUCCAUGCAUAAAACAAGACCUAGCACAAGAACUGAUUCUUAGAGCUUUUAAGAUAGUUGGUGGAUCUGUUAUUUAUUUGGUAUAUAACUCCUACAAUGAAUACCAGAAUUUUGAGAUUAGAAGACAUUUCGCCAAACCUUGUACUUUCAUUAUUCCCAAGAGAAGUGGCAUUCUUAAGUGGAAAUGGCAGCAUUUAAUAAAGUAAAACAUUUCUAGUCAUGUUGCAGGAAACAACUGACCGUAUGAAAUGAUAUCCCUUUUUUAUACUUCUGGUCAGUAGUGUGUCUGCAGUUUAUUUGUUCUGUGGUUUGGCCUUAGAAGUGUAGUGUUUGAGAUGUUACCAUCGUUGUGUUUGGGGGACAGGAGAGGUGGUAACACAUGUGAUAACCCCUGAGCAUUUACUGGGUACAGAUCAUAGUGAUUGAUAAGUGCUAAGGAGCAUUCAGAGAUAAAUUAUAAUAAUGGCACCUAAGCAUCACUUUGUAGUUCACAAAGUCCAUUUCAUCACCUCCUUUAAUCUUCCCAAGCAUCCUGAGGCUGUUAUUAUUAUUAUUAGGUAAGUAAUACUUAAAUUCCAUUCUAGAAUCCCUGGAGCUGCAGGUCCCUACUUGCAGCUGCCAACUAUCAUCUCAUAAAAUUGUAGGCAUUUCAAACUCAGCUCCUAUCUUCAUUAGCCACCUCCAUUCUCUGUCUCCAUUUUUCCUGGCACCACCCUAUCCCAAAGCAUCUACGACAUCCUACUUUCUCCCUUUCCCUCUCAAUUGCAUUUAAUCCCUUCUCAGAUCUUCAGCCCACUGUCGUGUUCAUAGUGAAUCCCCAAGUCUCUUCCCAGCUUUAUCUACCAUUCAUUCUAACUGCACAUCCAUCCCUUGUUCCUUCCUGACACAUGAAUGUUCAAAAAAUAUUUUUGUACUGUACUGCCUCCGUAACUUGGCACAUGCUGUGUGUGGGCUCAGGAAUGAGGAAUGCCUUCAACCUAACUUUCUUCCUCUGAACACACCCUCCUCAUCCUUUGAGAUGUAGUUUAUCCUUCCUACUUCCCAAGGCCCAGUCGAGUACCACUCUUCCUGACUCCUGCCCCCAUUCCAACAUGCACCUGCAGCAUUCCUGAGCAACUCUAUUAUACUCUUUCUCAAAAUAUGGGUCCUUGUUCUCCAAAGUGUGCUGCUUAAAAACACAGAUUCCUGAGAAUACCCAGAACCACUGAAUUAGUAUUGCUGAGAGUGGAGCCCAGGAAUCUGCAUUUAGGAGGCCCCACUUCUUCCCAGUGAUUCUGAUGCACAGGAGAUAGAGGAGCACUGAGAACUGUGCUCUGUUAUGUUACCUCUCUUGGCCUCUACAACUGGUUUCCAGGAGCAAGGGAUGCAGCCACUCAAGAGCCACCUCUGGUUAAGUUUAGUUAUCACCUCUGACUUCGUUGGGAGAUGAGAGCAGCAAAGUCACUCAAAUUUAACCAAUUUUCAACUAUAUCUUUACAAAAAGGAGAAGUGCUGAUUUUUUUGUUUGUUUUCUCAUAGCUUUAUUGAGGUACAAUUUUAUAUACUAUAAAAUUCACCCAUUUUAAGUGCAUAAUUCAAUGAUCAGUACAUUAUGCCACUGCCACCACAAUCCUAUUUUACAUCAUUUCCAUCUUUUCAGAUAGAGAUUUUGUGCCCAUUUGCAGUCACUCUUCAUUCCCCUCCCCAGCCCUAGACAACCACUCAUCUACAUUCUGUCUCUACAGAUUUGCUUUUUUUCUGUAUCAUCAUAUACAUGAAAUCGUACAAUGCGUGGUCUUCUGUGUCUGGUUCUUUCACUUAGCAUAGCGUUCUUGAGGUUCGUGCAUGUUGUGACACGUGUCUGUACUUCAUUCCUUUUGAUGGCUGAAUAAUAUUCCAUUGUAUGGAUAAUACCACAUUUUGUUUAUUCACUCAUCAGCCAAUGGACAUUUGCAUUGCUUCCAUCUCCUGUGUGUCUAUCGUGAACGAUGCUGCCAUGAACAUUUGUGUACAAGCCUGUGUGUGCUGACAUAUGUUUUCAUUCCUCUCACUUUUUUCUCCACAGUAGGAUGUUAUUAUAGGCUUUCUAGGAAUCAGCUGGCUAAUCAGAAUCUCAUACAUAUUUUCUCCAGUACUGUGAAAAUUUAAAGUGUUCUUUUACUUCCGUCACUCUCUAAUGUCUCCCAUUCUGAUUACACUGUUUGGAAGCUCAGAGGCUCUUGAAACUUCUUUGCAGUAAAAAGAAAAUGGUAUCUUUUUUUUUUUCCCCCCCUGUCUGAUGAGAAGCUGGCUCCAGAAAUUCCCUGUAGGAGACUAAGCAAAAGAUAGGAAGGCAGGUACCUUGGCGAGGUGAAAAUGUGUUUCAGUGAGACAGCUCCCCGGCUUGGCUGAGCAGGACCUGCUUUCAGCCCCUUCCCACCACAGCUGGGCAGGGUCUGUGUUUUCACCACGUUUGAUUUCUAGACAUGAGCGUUUUCUUAGCAGAGAGUAGGGACUAACACAAUGAAUGAAACAAGCGUAUUUAAUGAGCCAGUCAGUAAAUGAAUGAAUAAAUACCCUGGCUUGUUUCUUCUAUACACACCAUUAUCCUAAUUAGUAGUCGUGAAUCACAAAGUCACUCCCCUCAGUGAUGGGUAGUUUCCAGAGAAAAGAUAGAAGGUAAUUGAUACAGUCUCAAUACAGGGAAAAAAACAACCUAGGAAAGUCUGGUUUGAUGGAAGUUUAACAAAUAAGUUUGAAUUUGGGCAGACCUAAAGACAAUAGUCCAGUGUGGCUUUUUUCGGGGGUGUGGCCCUAAAAAACCAAAAAAAAAAAAAAAAAA
ensembl:lncRNA